GAUGAAGAACGUAGCGAAAUGCGAUACUUGGUGUGAAUUGCAGAAUCCCGUGAACCAUCGAGUCUUUGAACGCAAGUUGCGCCCGAAGCCAUUAGGCCGAGGGCACGCCUGCCUGGGCGUCACACGUCGUUGCCCCCCCAUCUACUCCUUCGGGAUUGCGGGGGGCGGAUGAUGGCCUCCCGUGCGCCUUGUCGCGCGGUUGGCAUAAAUACCAAGUCCUCGGCGACGCACGCCACGACAAUCGGUGGUUGCGAAACCUCGGUUGCCUGUCGUGUGCGGUCGUCGCGCAUCGAGGGCUCGAAAAAAGUGUCGGGCUUCGGCUCGGCUUUCAACGCGACCCCAGGUCAGGCGGGGUUACCCGCUGAAUUUAAGCAUAUCAAUAAGCGGAGGA
rnacentral:misc_RNA from 1 species